rnacentral:lncRNA from 1 species
AACUGUGAUUUUGUUUGCCAUCAUCUGCAUUCAUGAACAGAGUGACAACUACAUGCCCACUUUGUCAGAAGGAGUAUUUCCACCUUCAGCAGCAUCUUAAAAAAUCACACCACUUGGCAAACCGUGAGGAACUCUGCCUCAUCGUUCUUUACAGCUCUGGGCGUAUUAACAGCAAAUUGAAAUGCCCUCAUUGUGCCAAGGAUCUGGUUCGUCUGGAUAAGCAUUUCGCUUUCUUCCACAACCUGAGUGCUGUGGACCGUCAAGCACAACUAAAACGUGCCAAACAACAAAGGGUGCUGGAACUCCUUGCGACUCUCCGGGCCUCACAUCCACAUCCACCAAUGCUGACAAGCCUGGAUGUGCAAAUGAGCAACAAAGCUGAGGAACAUCCAGACGUCCCCCAGAAUGUUCCGGCAGCCCCUGCCAAUGAUCCCGCAGCUCCUGCAGCCAAGACACGAUCCAGGACAGCCACUAGUUUGAGCUCUGGAAUGAAAAAAUACAGAAUAACGCGACAAAUUGCAGAUAUCGCAGCUCUGAGAAGGAGGAUAAGGGCCAUGAAAUAUGAAAGGGCGCCUUCCAGGUUUGUUUGUGGUGUGACCAAUUCCACAGCUAUAAAACACAAAUUGGAGCACUUGGACCAUUUUCUAAAGUGGAUCCUGAAAACAAGAUCGAAGUGGGUGCGUGCAUCUCUGAGCUAUGCCAUCAUGAUGAUAAAGAACAUUAAGAAGCAUGUGACACGUGGCAGUAUGACCCGCCAGCAAGAAGUUGGUCAAGACACAAAGGCAGUUUCCUCAUGCCAGUGAGGACGAGCUGCCAGACCGACGCACGAUUUCUCAGAGAGCUCACUACUGAUGCCUUUGGACCUCCAGUACAUGGCUCUCUGAACAUGAUGGAUGAAGCUAGACUGAUGUGCUGUCGCAUGUCCAUGCCACUCCAAAGAUAAAUACGUUACAUGUAGACCAGGUUCUGACAGCUUCUGUUUAUUGUUACAGCAUUGUUUCAGGCAUUUUAUUAUUUGCUGCUUGUCUUUUCUUCUGUCAUAUAAUCUUUUUCUCGUAACCAUAAGCUUGCGUUUUUGUUGUUAAUACAGUACAGCU